rnacentral:rRNA from 1 species
UUAAAGGGCCGUGGUAUACUGACCAUGCGAAGGUAGCAUAAUCAUUAGCCUUUUGAUUUGAGGCUGGAAUGAAUGGUCUGACGAGAGGCAACCUGUCUCCUUAAUUAACUUGAAUUUAAUCUUUAAGUGAAAAAGCUUAAAUAGCCUUGGAGGACGAUAAGACCCUAUAGAUCUUUACAUCCGGCUUUUUCAUCUAACGGUGGGUAAUCGGGUGGAAGAGGAGGAUGUUUGGUUGGGGCGACGUCGAGAGGAGAAUAAACACUCGAGAAUUACAUACAUCGAUAAAUGAUCAUUGAUCCUUAGAUGAAAAUAGAGUAAGUUACCUUAGGGAUAACAGCGUAAUUCUUUUUGAGAGCUCAAAUCGACAAAAGAGUUUGCGACCUCGAUGUUGGUUCAGGGACCCUAUUUGGUGCAGCAGCUUAAUCAGGUAGUC